rnacentral:rRNA from 1 species
GACGAACGCUGGCGGCGUGCCUAACACAUGCAAGUCAACUUGACUGAAGGAGCAAUCUGACAGUAGAGUGGCGCAAGGGUGCGUAACGCGUAAGUAACUUGCCCCAAGGUAAGGAAUAACGUCGAGAAAUCGGCGCUAAUACCUCAUAAUGCAGCGGAUCCGCAUGGAUAUGUUGUUAAAGGUUUACCGCCUUGGGAUAGGCUUGCGUCUGAUUAGCUAGUUGGUGUGGUAACGGCACACCAAGGCUACGAUCAGUAACUGGUCUGAGAGGAUGAUCAGUCACACUGGAACUGAGACACGGUCCAGACUCCUACGGGAGGCAGCAGUGAGGAAUAUUGGGCAAUGCUCGAAAGAGUGACCCAGCAACGCCGCGUGGAGGAUGAAGGUAUUCUAUAUCGUAAACUCCUGUGAGAGCAGACGAAGACAGAUUAUUAAUCUGGAUGACUGUAUGCUCAGAGGAAGCCCCGGCUAACUAC